rnacentral:rRNA from 1 species
ACGGAAGGCAGCAGUGAGGAAUAUUGGUCAAUGGACGCAAGUCUGAACCAGCCAUGCCGCGUGCAGGAAUAAGGCCCUAUGGGUCGUAAACUGCUUUUGUGGUGGAGCAAUAAGUCGUACGUGUACGGCGAUGAGAGUACAUCACGAAUAAGCAUCGGCUAACUCCGUGCCAGCAGCCGCGGUAAUACGGAGGAUGCAAGCGUUAUCCGGAUUUAUCGGGUUUAAAGGGUGCGUAGGCUGUGGUCCAAGUCAGGGGUGAAAGCCCGGAGCUCAACUCCGGAACUGCCUUUGAUACUGGAUUGCUGGAAUACGGAUGCCGUGGGAGGAAUGAGUAGUGUAGCGGUGAAAUGCAUAGAUAUUACUCAGAACACCGAUUGCGAAGGCAUCUCACGAAUCCGUCAUUGACGCUGAGGCACGAAAGCGUGGGGAUCAAACAGGAUUAGAUACCCUGGUA